rnacentral:rRNA from 1 species
AUUGAACGCUGGCGGCAGGCUUAACACAUGCAAGUCGAGCGAGCGGCGGACGGGUGAGUAAUGUCUGGGAAACUGCCUGAUGGAGGGGGAUAACUACUGGAAACGGUAGCUAAUACCGCAUACCAUCAGAUGUGCCCAGAUGGGAUUAGCUAGUAGGUGGGGUAAUGGCUCACCUAGGCGACGAUCCCUAGCUGGUCUGAGAGGAUGACCAGACACACUGGAACUGAGACACGGUCCAGACUCCUACGGGAGGCAGCAGGGGGUAAUAUUGCAUAAUGGGCGCAAGCCUGAUGCAGCCAUGCCGCGGGUGUGAAGAAGGCGUUCGGGUUGUAAAGUACUGUAAGCGAGGAGGCGUUACUCGCAGAAGAAGCACCGGCUAACUACGUGUCAGCAGCCGCGGUAAUAC